GUCUCUUCUAUAUAUUAGUAUUGUUUUCUAUAUUUGUGUAGUAGUAUUAAGUAGUUUUCCAACAAAAUUAGGAUUUAAGCUAUUUGAUCAGAGUAGUAGGGUAUCGGUAUAGUUUUGUGAAGGACAAAAUAGUACAGGUUUACACCUAUGUAUAUACAGGUUUACACCUAUGUAUGUACAGGUUUACACCUAUGUAUAUACAGGUUUACACCUAUGUAUAUACCUGCAACUUCGUGUUUUUUUUUUGUUUUUUUUUUUUACAUAUGUCAGACGUAAGAAAAUUUUACUAUCUGCACAUGGCCAUUAUUGAGAGGUUUCA